AAGUGACUGUAGGUUUAGAUGAAUGGAAAAUGAACUUGCCAAUCCACAGCUAUGUCCUUCCCAAUUUGGGAGGUUCAGGGCAGGAAGAACAUGAGAAACUCUUUUGAGAAGCUGCACAAGCUGACAUUGAGGAUCAAGGAUUUCAAAAGCUUUGAAUAUAAAGAGGUGUCAACUUACUUCAGAGCCUGAGACUUGACAUGCCUAUUUUUGCACUCGCUCCUCUUUCAGAUUUCAUAGGCAUUGCUCCCUCCAAAUCACCGCUCUUCUAAUUUUAUCCUGGAGUGUGCAUCCCAGAAGACAUAAGCUGACACAAUUGGAAACUGAAGUUGCUUGAAAAAGCUGGCGGUAAGAUUAGGGAUCAAUGUCAUGUAUCACUAUUUCUCAAAGACUAUCUGGUCUCUUGAUGGCAAACCUACAUUAUUGAAACCCUUGAAAGAGAAUUGUGUUUUGUGAGUUACAUGACUACCGUUUGCAUCCAAGGUCUCCUCUGUAAUCAAGAGAAGAAUGCAGAAGCUACAUGUUCAAGAAUCUCUUUCCAGAGUCCUUCUCUGUCACCCAGGUUGGAGUGCAGUGGCACCAUCUCAGCUCAUUGCAACCUCCACCUCCGAGGUUCAAGCAAUUCUCCUACCUCAGCCUCCCGAGUAGCUGGGACUACAGGCACGUGCCACCAAACCCAGCUAAUUUUUGUAGUUUUUAGUAGAGAUGGGGUUCACCAUAUUGGACAGGCUGGUCUUGAAAUCAUGACCUCAAGUAAUCUGCCUGACUUGGCUUCCCAAAGUGCUGGGAUUACAGACAUAAGCCACCAUGCCUGGUCCAAUACAAUGAUAUUAAGAGGUGAUGCUUUAAGGAGGUGAUUAGGUCAUGAGGACUUCUUCCCUCAUUAGUUGGACUAAGGUCCUUAUACAAGAGGCUUCACACACCAUUUGGUUCUAGCUGUGCUUCUGCCUCCUGCCAUGUGAGGACACAGCAUUUCCCCCUCUGGAGGAUUUAGCAACAAGGAACCAUCUUGGAAGCAGAGAGCAACCAUUUCCUAGACAACCAAACCUGCUAGAGCCUGGAUCUUGAACUUCUCAGCCUUCAAAACUAUGAGAAAUACUUUUCUGAUUAUUAUUAGCUACCCAGUUUCAAGUAUUUUGUUAUAGAAGCACAAAAUGGACCAAGAUGAUGAAUUUCUGAGACUGCUGACACCAUCAUAGGAGCAACAUGUUUAUUGUGUAAUCUCUUGAGACUUAUCAGAAGUUAGAAAGAAGGAGGAAUACAUUCUACUGCCCACAAAGAUUCUUUGAACUUUGAAUUUUGAUAAUUUUGAUGGAUCUAAGCACAACAUUUAAUUGUGAGUACAUGCUAUUAAACUGAAGAACAAAAGAAAGUUAUAUGUAUUUACAGAUGUUUGUGGAGAAAGAUGAAAAAAUAUUGACAAUAUUCAACCUGUACAAUGCAGAGUUGGUGAAAUUCAAAAAGUAUGAUUGCAGGAAAAUAAAGCUAGUUGGCUUCCAACUGGUAAAAGUUCACACUAUGAAGAAUUAACUCCCCCACACUUCCUGUCUGCAUAGGCCUAUGCCUUCACAAGAACAAGUUCCCACACCAGGGUCAAGAAGGAAGCCAUAAGUCAAGACAAAAGUGCACAGUGAAGGCAGAAGAUGAGGGGCCUCAGGUUGCAUCUUCUGAGGCACGAGGAUUCAAAGGUGAACAAAGCACACAGCACAUCAUUUGAUGUGGUAAGUUUCAUAGACAUAGAAGUAAGGGGGACGGAAUGUCGAAGUGUGUGUGGUGGGGAAGGAGGGGAAUUCAAAUGAGAUUCUGAUCAUUAAAUAAACUUGAAACAACUUGGAAAGGUGAAGUAAAACAACAGCCAUUUUCCUGACACUCAAGGAUUGCUUCUGCAGGUGCAGAAAACAAUGACAGCUUCAGAUAUUCUAUGAUGUACAGAUGCCAUUUAUCAAAUUCUUUGAUUUUAAGUAAUAAUGGUGUUGGUGCAGCCAGAGUUGCAAAAGAGGACUGUUGAUUCCAACACAGUCUCAAAGAUGGUUGAAUUAUGUGCUUCUUCUAAUGUGUCUAUUGUUCUGGAACCCAUAUUUGGAUGCGUCUUAAUCCCUAUCUAUGAUUUUGAAACCGUUUAAUUAUUUACUUCUCCAUAUGUCUGGAGGCAGUACUACACAUUGGAAGUUUGAGAAAAUAGGAUACUUAAAUAUUUAUUUAAGAUAACUGAAGAGUAAUUAGUCCAGGGAAAGAUUAUAGGAUUCCCUAGAGGUAUAGGGCCUAUUGGAGAUGAUCAAAUUAAAAUGAAGUCAUUCAUAAUGAUUUUUUUUCACUAGUCCUCUCACGCCUGCAUGAGGAGAAGAUGUGAACAAGUAAAUAAUUGGCUUUAACCUGUACUUUUCCCACUUGCAUAAAAUGAGGAUGUUAAUGGGAAUUGUGGGUAUGUGAAAGAUGAAGAUUAUGAUGAUAGGCCACAGAAUUUAAGUUUAGGAAAAUGGAAAGUGAGAGCAUUUGGUGGUUAGAGAGUAAAAAGGUAGUAGAAACUAUGAUUCGGACAAGGCAAUUAAAUAGGAGUGAAGUAGAGCAAAUAAAAGGAAACACUGUUAAGGCAGAAGGUUGAUACUAUAGAAUUCUGAGAUAAUAAUAAACUAUUGUUUGGAAAUAAAAUUUAUUUGUUUAUUUA